CACCAGGUUGAUUCUGCCUGACGUAGAUGCUAGUCUCUAAGAUUAAGCCAUGCAUGUUUAUGUAAUAAGGACGAACAGCUCAGUAGAACUACGAUUAUUUAGUCUGUUUGAUAAAGAUAACUACGUGAAAAUGUAGCUAAGAGAGAACAGAAUAAGACGUAGGACUAUCAGUUAGUUGGUAGUGUAAUGGACUACCAAGACGAUGACGGGUAACGGGGAAUCAGGGUUUGAUACCGGAGAGGGAGCCUGAGAGAUAGCUCCCACGUCCAAGGACGGCAGCAGGCGCGAAAA
rnacentral:rRNA from 1 species